GAUGAACGCUGGCGGCGUGCCUAAUACAUGCAAGUCGAGCGAAUGGAUUAAGAGCUUGCUCUUAUGAAGUUAGCGGCGGACGGGUGAGUAACACGUGGGUAACCUGCCCAUAAGACCAGGAAAACUCCGGGAAACCGGGGCUAAUACCGGAUAACAUUUUGAACCGCAUGGUUCGAAAUUGAAAGGCGGCUUCGGCUGUCACUUAUGGAUGGACCCGCGUCGCAUUAGCUAGUUGGUGAGGUAACGGCUCACCAAGGCAACGAUGCGUAGCCGACCUGAGAGGGUGAUCGGCCACACUGGGACUGAGACACGGCCCAGACUCCUACGGGAGGCAGCAGUAGGGAAUCUUCCGCAAUGGACGAAAGUCUGACGGAGCAACGCCGCGUGAGUGAUGAAGGCUUUCGGGUCGUAAAACUCUGUUGUUAGGGAAGAACAAGUGCUAGUUGAAUAAGCUGGCACCUUGACGGUACCUAACCAGAAAGCCACGGCUAACUACGUGCCAGCCGCCGCAGUAA
rnacentral:rRNA from 1 species